GACGAACCGUGCGAACGUUAUUCGGAAUCACUGGGCUUAAAGCGCGUGUAGGCGGGAGGGCACGUCCGUCGCUGAAAUCCCCCGGCUCAACCGGGGAACGGGCGCGGAUACGACCUUCCUGGAGGGGCGUAGGGGGACCUGGAACUUCCGGUGGAGCGGUGAAAUGCGUUGAGAUCGGAAAGAACACCAACGGCGAAAGCACUCUGCUGGGCCGACACUGACACUGAGAGACGAAAGCUAGGGGAGCGAAUGGG
rnacentral:rRNA from 1 species